rnacentral:rRNA from 1 species
AUGGUCGGCGGCAGGAGGCUCUCGGAGCUGCUCCGGGAGCAGCAGGAGCCGUUCCUCCUCCUUCACGGAGAGCCCUGCUGCUCCUCCGUCCAAGACAGGGGCGCCAGGGCUUCUUGGCGUAGGGCCAUGAGGAGGGCGCUGCCGCGGUGGCGCUGGGCCGGCCUUGCCGCCGGAUGCUUCCCCUGCACCGCCCGCCGCAAGCGCGAGAGCUUCCGCCCUCUGCCGCGCGCGGGCCACGCGUGCUGCAACGACGAUGCUGUGGCUACGGAAUCCGACGGCGGCGACGGCGCGAGGCGGCUCAGCCCGGUGUCCGUCCUGGACGUGCUGCGCUGCUCCGACGAGGAGGAGGAGGCGUCGUCGUCGCCCACGCUUAGCCACUCAGGGGAGGAGGAAGACAACGACGAGAAGCCAUCGUGGACGCCAGCUGGGAGCUCGCCGCCACCACCCGACCCGCUCACCGACGAGAAGGAGGAGUGGAGGAAGGUGGUUUCGUCGUGGGAGCGGAUCGCGGGGGACAUCGCAAGGGUCCCGGCGCUUGCGGAGCUGGACCUUUCAAGCUCCAUGUCGGCGAGGGAGUGGGAGUGGCACGGGGAGUCGGAGGCAGAGCGGGUGGGCGCGAGCGUGGAGGCCAUCAUCUUCGAGGAGAUGAGCGCGGAGGCCGUGCGCGACAUGGUCGAUCGAGCUAUAGCGAGUCGGAGCGCUCCUAGUCCAAGCUAG